UACGGGGGGGGCAAGCGUUGUUCGGAAUCAUUGGGCGUAAAGGGUGCGUAGGCGGCGCGGUAAGUCGGGUGUGAAAUCUCGGGGCUUAACUCCGAAACUGCAUUCGAUACUACCGUGCUUGAGGACUGGAGAGGAGACUGGAAUUUACGGUGUAGCGGUGAAAUGCGUAGAUAUCGUAAGGAAGACCAGUGGCGAAGGCGGGUCUCUGGACAGUUCCUGACGCUGAGGCACGAAGGCCAGGGGAGCAAACGGG
rnacentral:rRNA from 1 species